rnacentral:rRNA from 1 species
GAUUAACGCUGGCGGCGUGCAUAACACAUGCAAGUCGAACGAUGAAACUCAUUAGUUUUCUUCGGAAUGAAAAUGACUGGCUCAGGAGCGAACGGGGGAGUACCGCGUGAGUAACCUGCCUUACACAAGGGGAUAGCCUCCGGAAACGGAGAAUAAUACCCUAUGAAACCAGACAAUAGCAAGAUACGCUGGUCAAGAGGUUUAGUGGUGUAAGAUGGACUUGCGUCUGAUUAGCUAGUUGGUGAGAUAACAGCUCACCAAGGCAACGAGCCGUAGCCGGAUUGAGAGAGUGGACGGGCACAUUGGGACUGGGACACGGCGCAGACCCCUACGGGUGGCAGCAGUGGUGAAUGUUGCACAAUGCGUGAAACCCUGAGGCAGCGACGCCGCGUGAUUGAGAAGGCCUUCGGGUUGUAAAGAGCUUUUGUAUAGGCACAAAAUGACGGUACUAAAUGAAUAAGGCCCGGCUAAUUACGUG